rnacentral:lncRNA from 1 species
AGAAAGAAAGGAAAAAAGGAAAGUGGGGAAAAAAAAGGAAAGCAGGAAAGAAAGAAGGAAGAAAACGAAAGAAAGAAGACAAAAUAAAGAAAGAGCUGAAGGGACCUGCACUAUUGGCAUUCUGCCCCACAGCCAUGUAAAUUUUCCUCCAUCUGAAUGUUCACUGCCGUCUUUUAGAUUCCUCUGCUGACAGUGAAGAGGUCACGCUAAAUCAAACUGACAGAGAAACUGGACAUCAACUUUACCCAGGACGCCCAAAUUAAUUCUACCGAAACAAAAGGGUCAACCUCACUUUGGCUGGCUUGUCUUCUUGAUUUCUUCAUUGGUGGUGCUAAAGAGAGUUGAUGAGACAGGAAGAAAGCAGCAGGGAUUGCUGAGUCUGAACAUCACUUCUGCUAAGCUUGGAGCAGCACUGAAGCUAUUUUAUACAAGACUAGUUCU